rnacentral:rRNA from 1 species
AUGGAGAGAGUGAUUUUCAUCAGCAUGUGUUCAAAUUUCAAAAGGGUUUGGGAUAUGUAUGGGAGCUCAAGAAAUCUUAACUGGAGAAAUUGGACCACUCACUUUAUUGAUGUACCUAAACAAACCAAUGAGCUUGAUUGUGGCAUAUAUACAGCACUCUUUCUGAAGCAUUGGAAGCCCAGGAUAUUGUUGCAUGAUAUAGUGAAGGAUGAAGAUAUCCCAAACAUCCGAAUUAGAAUGGCGAAUGAAAUGAUGUUCACUGACCAUAAUAUGAAAAAUGACCAUAAAAAGUUGGUUCUUGAGUUUCAGUCAAGCUGUUGA